rnacentral:rRNA from 1 species
UACGGAGGGUGCGAGCGUUGUUCGGAAUCACUGGGCGUAAAGCGCGUGUAGGCGGCCCACUAAGUCUGAUGUGAAAGCCCGGGGCUCACCCCCGGAAGUGCAUUGGAAACUGGUGGACUCGAGUCCCGGAGAGGAGAGUGGAAUUCCUGGUGUAGCGGUGAAAUGCGUAGAUAUCAGGAGGAACACCGGUGGCGAAGGCGGCUUGCUGGGCCUUACCUGACGCUGAGGAGCGAAAGCGUGGGGAGCGAGCAGG